AGCCACCUGGUGUUGUGUUCUGACACUGACUGUAUAGAAAGAGGAGGCAAGGUAAACCUACCUCCUCUAUACCUCAGCUCAGGCCCUGUGCCUGAUCUGUCUUGUGAAUGGCAAGAUUCAAGG
rnacentral:snoRNA from 1 species